UAAUGGUUAUGGUAAAUGGUUGUGUCAUACAAGUAAUUACGACUGCUCGACGGAUCGCGGUCCCUUUAAAUGUUCUGUUGUUGUUGAUGACGUAGAGCCCGUUGAUAGGGACAUUACAGGGCUGCGCCAUCUUGUUUUUUCAUCCGUUGUGAAAAAUAAACGAGACACACGCUUGUUCUCAACUUUCUCAGUGGAAUGCAACUUCCACAAUAAUGGCAAAACGGUGUGGUAAGAGAAAAAUUGAUUCAGAAUGCAGGGUAUUUAACCCGCAGUGGACACAUGAUUACUUUUUUGUUCAGUUGAAAGAAAAGGCUGUUUGUCUCGUCUGUCAAGAGACGGUGGCGGUAUUCAAAGAAUACAACCUGCGCCGACAUUAUGAAUCCCGUCACAAAGACAAGUAUGCUAGCCUGCACGGCCAAAUGCGAGCAGAAAAAAUGUCUAAGCUAAAAACUGGACUGUUCGCUCAGCAGACUACAUUUGUACGGCAAACUCAGCUGAACCAAGCAUCAGUUCGGGCCAGCUUCCGUGUUGCUCAGCUGAUAGCAAGCUGCGGUAAAUCUUUCACUGAAGGAGAGUUUGUCAAGAAAUGUUUGAAUGUUGUCGUGGAGGAGGUCUGUCCCGAGAAGAAAGAUGUCUUUAAUUCCGUGAGUCUGUCGGCAAGUACAAUUACCCGACGUGUUGAAGAAAUUGGGGGUAAUGUGUAUGCCCAGCUGCAGCAGAAGACUAAAGAUUUUUAGUUUUUUUCAUUAGCACUGGAUGAGAGCACGGACGUGCAGGACACCGCGGAGCUUCUUAUUUUUAUUCGUGGAGUUAACGCAAACUUUUUGGCAGCACGUAUAUCUGCGAGCAAACCUUUUCACGCAUGAAACUCCUGAAAACUCCAACGAGAUCAAGAUUGACAGAUGAACAUUUGCAUCAGUGUUUGAGACUGGCUGUGACUAGAAUGGAACCGGACAUUCAACUUCUCUCCAGCCAGAUGCAGGCCCACAGAUCACACUGAUGAACACACAGUACAUAGGGGGAAGUUGAUGAGAGGGAGCCUACAGUGGUGUCUACUGGGCUAGCCUAUGGAACCUACAAAGAACACAAGAACUUUGAGAGACAUUUGAGAUUCUGCUGUGACAAGUGAAGUUUACCUUUUUAUCUAGGAUUGUGCAUGGCACAGCAUAACUUUCUUUCUGUGAAGAACCCAGAGAGGGUUAUUUGAUCUCAGAAAGGGUUAUUAAUAUUUGGAUAUGUGUGGUGCGCUGGAGUGUCAGCAUGUUUUCUGGAAAACAAUAAAUGAUUACAUUUAGGGACCCCUGCGAAUGUCACACUUUUUCUGUUGAAACUGACCCUGGCCCCCCAUCAGAGAAGGGAAAAGUUAUGUGGCCCUCACUGGAAAAAGUUUGGGGACCCCUGCUGUACAGUGUCACACAUCUUAAAAAUGCGAUGUAAGUCGCUUUGGAUCAACGUGUCAGCUAAAUGACCUGUAUGUAUGCAUGUAUUUAACAUUGGGCAGAUUUAUUUUUGACAUUUAUUCAGAGUUAACUUGUUAACACUUCGUUGUGUGUUGAUUUAACACUGACAAGAUUGGGACAAUAUAAACACUAGCUUAGAGUUAAAAUUGAAUCUCACAAAGUCAAUUUAACUCUCUGAAAUGUGCUGUGUACCCUGUUGUGUAUCCAACAGCUUACAUUGCUAGAGAGCAACGUUUAAUGAACAGGCCCCCAUAUGUGCACAGUGCAAACUCCGUUCUUUGAUUCUGCUGUACAUAUCAGACAGGAAGGUUUUUGUGAAUGAGGAGGGCUUUGAAAAACCAAAAAACACUUACAACUGACCUCUAAACCCUGACCACAAAUACACUUUCUGGUUUCUAUAUGAAACUUACAAACAUUAGUGAGAGUUGUGAUGUGUCAUUUUAUCCACCUCUACAAAACACCUCUCUCUCUUUUUUUUUAUUGUAGGUAACAGCACAAAAAUACUUUGAUCACACAUCUACUUUAUCUCUGAAAAAUGUAUAUCAACUGUAGAGGGAAAAGUUAAAAGGUAAAAUAUUAUUUUAAUAAAUAAAAAAAUAAAAUAUUUAUUUAACACACUAUUUAUAAAAAUGCUUGGAUUUCUUAUAAUUUAUAAAAAAUAAUGGGUGCCUGAAUAGUUCAAAUUGAUACUUUAUGCACUGUUUUCCCUGGGGUGUCUCAAAGGUUAUUUUUAAAUUUCUCCACUGCUUUCUGUGAACGCAUUCCGCCCCAAUGAGCCCACACUGACAUGUGCGUCAAUCAGUCUUUUGUUCAAGGUAAUGUAAUGCUAAUCUAAUGCAUCUAGUAUUACAAUGGCCAUCGGUUUCCACACAAAUCAGUGUGCAUGUAUCUUUGUGGCUCUGUCAAUUGAAUCAAUGAGUGGGAAUUAAUGUUUAUGUGGGCAUGUAAGUGUGUAUGGUUAAAAUAAUAAAUUUUAAUUUACCACGGUUA